GGAUGGCCCAAGUGCAGUGGUGUUUACAACUCAUUGAUCACAACCAGUUACAGAUUGCUUUGUCCCCUCUCCAGUCCCACUGCUUCACUUGACUAGCCUUUA
rnacentral:Y_RNA from 1 species